rnacentral:rRNA from 2 species
UGGGGAAUUUUGGACAAUGGGCGCAAGCCUGAUCCAGCAAUGCCGCGUGAGUGAAGAAGGCCUUCGGGUUGUAAAGCUCUUUUGUCAGGGAAGAAACGGGGGCGGCUAAUAUCCGCUCCUAAUGACGGUACCUGAAGAAUAAGCACCGGCUAACUACGUGCCAGCAGCCGCGGUAAUACGUAGGGUGCAAGCGUUAAUCGGAAUUACUGGGCGUAAAGCGUGCGCAGGCGGUUUUGUAAGUCUGAUGUGAAAUCCCCGGGCUCAACCUGGGAAUUGCAUUGGAGACUGCAAGGCUGGAAUCUGGCAGAGGGGGGUAGAAUUCCACGUGUAGCAGUGAAAUGCGUAGAGAUGUGGAGGAACACCGAUGGCGAAGGCAGCCCCCUGGGUCAAGAUUGACGCUCAUGCACGAAAGCGUGGGGAGCAAACA